rnacentral:rRNA from 1 species
UGAGCAAUUUGCCCUUCACAUCGGAAUAACCAUUGGAAACGAUGGCUAAUACCGAAUAUGACUUCGGAUCGCAUGAUCUGAAGUGGAAAGCUCCGGCGGUGAAGGAUGAGCUCGCGGCCUAUCAGCUUGUUGGUGAGGUAAUAGCUCACCAAGGCGAUGACGGGUAGCCGGCCUGGGAGGGUGACCGGCCACACUGGGACUGAGACACGACCCAGAUCCCGUACGGG